rnacentral:rRNA from 1 species
CCUGGUUAUCAAAAACAUCGCUUUUUGUAAAUUAAUUUAAAGUUAGACCUGCCCCCUGAAUAUAUUUUAAAGGGCCGCGGUAUUUUGACCGUGCUAAGGUAGCAUAAUAAUUAGUUUCUUAAUUAGAAGCUGGAAUGAAUGGUUUAAUGAAAAAAUUACUGUUUCAAUUUAAAUUUAAUUGAAUUUUAUAUUUAAGUUAAAAAGCUUAAAUUUUUUUAAAAGACGAGAAGACCCUAUAGAGUUUAAUAAAAAUUUUAAUUUUUGAUUUUAGGAUUAUUAAAAGAUAUUUAAAUUUUUAUUUAAUUGGGGUGAUUAUAAAAUUUAGAUAACUUUUAUUUUUAUUAUACAUAAAUUUAUGAAUAUUUGAUCCAUUUAUAAUGAUUAUAAGAUUAAAUUACCUUAGGGAUAACAGCGUAA